AUAAACGACACGUGCUGCUGCAACUCUCAUCCUCAUCAGUGAUUUCCCGGUGAAAUUGAGGAAAUCAGUCUACCUCUAACAUAUUAUAUGACCAAAUCAGUCAGAAGGCAAUCGUGUCACGUUUUUGCUCUGGUGUGAACUAUGACGUAUCAUUGUCUUACUUGAAAAUUUUCUGGAAGACUCAUUGCUGAAAUUGAGGAAAAUGACAAGGUUGUUCUGAAAAAUCUGCGACGAAAGUAUACUUUUUUGUUCAACUGUUUCGUGCAUGUUUACAAUAGGCCUACUUUCCAUGAUAGUCAUCAGUAGUGCAAUGUUUGUAACAAAUGACGUUUACUUUGUCCAACUGGUAAUGCAUCUGCAAAGAUAAAUAAAUAAAGUAUUAAUUGAGUUAUUGUAAUAGCUUUUGGAUGAGUUUCUUUUUCCCUCAUACAAUUUUUCGAUGCACUUUUUGUUAUUACUGGUGUGCCUGAUGAUUACUAUGAGACUAAUAUCUUUAUAAUGUUCAAAAAGUUUUAGCUGGAGGACAAUCUUUUUUAGGCAUUCUGUUUGGUGGUAAAACUACAAACUGCACUUGUUAACUGUAAAGCAUCUAUUCAGGUUAGUAUUCUGCAGUACGGAACAAAAUUCUCUUAAGAUUUGUGAUGCUUAGUUUCACUUUCGUAGCAAAAACGCUUAGUUAUGGAAUUGUUAGCGAGUUUUCCUUAAAGCAGUAAGUUCUAGCUGGUGAAAUUACUCCCCCUUUCCAAUCGUUUACUACUGCUUUGGUUUAUUGCAUUAAGCAUUUUGGUGCCAUUACAUACUUUGGUGUUGUGGUCUAAAAUCUAUGAACUGCUGGAAAAAUUUCGACAUCAUCACUGCACAGGUAACCUAUAUUGAAUUGGUUACUUUACUUGCAACAUUUUCCUUCUGACGAAAUUUGCACAUUCAAUUAUUAAACAACUGAUUUAUCAGUUUCCCUGUAGAUUUCUGAAAGAAUGAGCAUUGAAUCUAACCAUAAGCUAAAUUACAGUUCCCUACACGGAACAACCAUUGUAUAACAAGCUAUAUUGCCAUAGCAAAGACUUACACGUUAAACCGCUUGUUCAGCAAUGGUUCUGCUGUCAAGAAAACUUUGGUUCAUGCUGGCUCAACAUUUCUUUUGCUUAUUGAGCCAACUCCACUACUCCAUGUCAGGGAGUAAACACAGAGUAAUAAUGUAUGAUCCUUGUACCAUAUUAGUCAUCAUUAUAAGCUAGAAAGGAGGCUCCUUAUUCUCCACUUCAUCAAUGAAAAUAUCCAAGAAGCUCAGAUGAUGAGGGUGUAGAAGAAGAAUCCGAAAAGUCACAAUAUGAGGUACAUGACGAAAAUACGGAGGACAGUGGGCAGAUCAAUCGAGACAUGCUCAGCUCGAUCAAUACUUUCGCCACACUUAUCUGCUGUUGGAAACUGAAAUUUAAAAUUCAAAGGACAAACAAGUUUCUCCGCUUCACUUUUGAGCAAAACAUAUUGUAACAACAUUUACAGAUUUACCUAUAAUCUAUAAUGUAUAAUAAACAAUAACUUUAUGCAUGACAUUAAUAAAACAAGUUAACUUCGUU